CAAAUCUCACGUAGUUUAACCCUAGCCACGUUUUUCUCUCCCUCACUCUUUCUCUCGAUCCAUAUCUCCAUCUUCCCCAUCCGCCCUCUCUUUCUUCCGUUUUUCUUCGCUCGGCGGCGGAAUUCGAUAUCUUCCCCAUCCACCCACUCUUUCUUCCGCUUUUCUUCUCUUGGCGGGCGGAAUGAAGGACCACCAUGACAUAAAACACAAGAGAAGACAGAACCAGAAAAAAUCGAUGAUGACAAGGCUUAAUCCCGAAAAUCAGAUCUGAAAUCGACAAGCAGAUCUUUGUGAGGGAUUUUUGUGCAGAACAUUACUUCGUGAUAUUGGUGUUCCGAUCAGGUUCUUGCACAAGCGGGUGAUGGCAGCAAGUGGGACGAUGUUGGGUGAUGAUAAGUUUGUAGUGUUUAUCACCGGGUCACUCUAACCUAACGAAAACCACGAGCAACACUAUCAUAAAUUCGGAAGCUUGUAGUGGAUUUUGAUAAGUUUGUUGUUGAUGCAUAAGUGUUUUUAUACGAUAAGUUUUUAGUGGAUUAACCAUAUAUUACGUUAAUUUUGUAGUGGAUUACUUUAACCUAUAAAGUGGAUUUUGAUAACUUUGUAGUGGAUUUUGAUAAUUUUGUAAUGGAAUACGUUAAUUCGUAGUGGAUUAUGUAAAUUUUUAUUCGAUUUCGAUACGUUUGUAGUACACUAUAUUAAUAUGAAAGUUGGUUUUAUGAUAA